GGCUCUGUGAUUAAAUGCCUAAUUUGUUGGGCAAUAUACGCUAUUCUGAUUCUAAAUAUGAACAGAGAAUUUUUGUGAUAAUGAGAGCC